rnacentral:rRNA from 1 species
UACGUAGGGGGCAAGCGUUGUCCGGAUUUAUUGGGCGUAAAGAGCGUGUAGGCGGCCAAACAGGUCAGCUGUGAAGACUCGAGGCUCAACCUCGAGACGUCGGUUGAAACCGUUUGGCUAGAGUCCGGAAGAGGAGAGUGGAAUUCCCGGUGUAGCGGUGAAAUGCGCAGAUAUCGGGAAGAACACCCGUGGCGAAGGCGGCUCUCUGGGCCUUACCUGACGCUGAGGAGCGAAAGCGUGGGGAGCGAACAGG